CCCUUAGAUGUUCUGGGCCGCACGCGCGCUACACUGAUCGGUGCGACAAGCAUCCGUCCUUGGCCGACAGGCCCGGGCAAUCUUUGAACGCCGGUCGUGAUGGGGAUAGACCUUUGCAAUUUUUGGUCUUCAACGAGGAAUUCCUAGUAAACGCAAGUCAUCAACUUGCAUUGAUUACGUCCCUGCCCUUUGUACACACCGCCCGUCGCACCUACCGAUUGAAUGGUCCGGUGAAACCUCCGGAUUGGCGCGUGCCCUCGGGCGCCGCCGAGAAGUUGGUUAAACCUUACCAUUUAGAGGAAGGUGAAGUCGUAACA
rnacentral:rRNA from 1 species